CAUGGCUCAGAACGAACGCUGGCGGCAGGCUUAACACAUGCAAGUCGAGCGCCCGCAAGGGGAGCGGCAGACGGGUGAGUAACGCGUGGGAAUCUACCCAUCUCUACGGAACAACUCCGGGAAACUGGAGCUAAUACCGUAUACGUCCUAAGGGAGAAAGAUUUAUCGGAGAUGGAUGAGCCCGCGUUGGAUUAGCUAGUUGGUGGGGUAAUGGCCUACCAAGGCGACGAUCCAUAGCUGGUCUGAGAGGAUGAUCAGCCACACUGGGACUGAGACACGGCCCAGACUCCUACGGGAGGCAGCAGUGGGGAAUAUUGGACAAUGGGCGCAAGCCUGAUCCAGCCAUGCCGCGUGAGUGAUGAAGGCCCUAGGGUUGUAAAGCUCUUUCAACGGUGAAGAUAAUGACGGUAACCGUAGAAGAAUCCCCGGCUAACUUCGUG
rnacentral:rRNA from 1 species